GAAUUCGCCCUUAGAGUUUGAUUCUGGCUCAGGACGAACGCUGGCGGCGCGCCUAACACAUGCAAGUCGAACGAGAGAUGAGGAGCUUGCUCUUCAAAUCGAGUGGCGAACGGGUGAGUAACGCGUGAGGAACCUGCCUCAAAGAGGGGGACAACAGUUGGAAACGACUGCUAAUACCGCAUAAGCCCACGGCUCGGCAUCGAGCAGAGGGAAAAGGAGCAAUCCGCUUUGAGAUGGCCUCGCGUCCGAUUAGCUAGUUGGUGAGGUAACGGCCCACCAAGGCGACGAUCGGUAGCCGGACUGAGAGGUUGAACGGCCACAUUGGGACUGAGACACGGCCCAGACUCCUACGGGAGGCAGCAGUGGGGAAUAUUGCACAAUGGGGGAAACCCUGAUGCAGCGACGCCGCGUGGAGGAAGAAGGUCUUCGGAUUGUAAACUCCUGUUGUUGAGGAAGAUAAUGACGGUACUCAACAAGGAAGUGACGGCUAACUACGUGCCAGCAGCCGCGGUAAAACGUAGGUCACAAGCGUUGUCCGGAAUUACUGGGUGUAAAGGGAGCGCAGGCGGGAGAACAAGUUGGAAGUGAAAUCCAUGGGCUCAACCCAUGAACUGCUUUCAAAACUGUUUUUCUUGAGUAGUGCAGAGGUAGGCGGAAUUCCCGGUGUAGCGGUGGAAUGCGUAGAUAUCGGGAGGAACACCAGUGGCGAAGGCGGCCUACUGGGCACCAACUGACGCUGAGGCUCGAAAGUGUGGGUAGCAAACAGGAUUAGAUACCCUGGUAGUCCACACCGUAAACGAUGA
rnacentral:rRNA from 1 species